UAUAAGUUCUAUUUUUCUUGUGUUACUUUAAAGCACCUGGCAAUGUUGCCUGGUUUCUGUCCAUAAACAGAAUUCAGUGGAGUGUGUCUUGAAGGUGAUUAAUGUUCUUGGCUUGCCUGGCUUGUAAUGGGAGUGAAUGUAACUCUGUGAAGAGGAAAAGGAGGGUGACUGUGGAAUGUAGUCUUCUCAUGUUCCGGGUGUCAGUGAAAAAAAAUAUAUUUGGUGCUGCCAAUCUUGUGACUGCUGAAGAACUGAUGCUUGGGACAGGUUGUCAAGUUAAUGGAGAGAAGCCAAAUAUAUUUGAGCUACACUACAGUGUGUCAGAGUGUGGGAUUCAGAUUAAGACUUUUGAAACACAUGCGGUCUAUAAAGUUAGUCUCCAUUAUACCCCAAAGAAUCCCACUUUUGGUCUUGUGACACGUGAAUUCUCCUUGGCCUGCACAGUGUUCAAGCUGCAAUAUUUCCCGAAGACAGAGAAUCCUGAUCUUUUUGGACCAGACAAAGAAGACCAAGAACCUAUUGACAUAAGAAACCAGGAACCGGUUCUCUUUCCCAUCUUGUCUCUGAGUUCUGCAGUUUGUCACCUUCUUUGCCCUGGAGAUAUUGGGCUAUCUUGCAUCUUGAGAUAUUACCAAGGAGGUAGCUAAAGGACAGCCAAUGCGAAACAAGUGUAUCAUCCUCGCCACUCUGGUUCCAAACUUUGGGAAGCUGGCAUUGUUUAAACUUGCCUUGGUGAGCCUCUCAGGAUGUUUUUAACAUUCAUUUUAAAGAAAUAAACCUUUCCAGUACUGCCCUUAUUUUGUAAUC
rnacentral:lncRNA from 1 species